AUUAAUGAAUAUGCAAUUUGCGUUUGUCCACCUGAGUGUGCAAAAUUGUUGGAGGAAUCAUGCAUAUAGGUGAUGUUUGCACAUACAACAUGAUUUAUCAAGACCAAAAGGAAAUUUAGCGAGUAGCUGAUAGGGUCUGUAUUUUGCGAGU